rnacentral:tRNA from 1 species
GCGGAAGUGGCGUAAUGGCAGCCGCGCAUGGCUUAGGACCAUGUGCCCGAGAGGGCGUGGGGGUUCGAAUCCCCCCUUCCGCACCA